AGUGAACGCUGGCGGUAGGCCUAACACAUGCAAGUCGAACGGCAGCACAGUAAGAGCUUGCUCUUACGGGUGGCGAGUGGCGGACGGGUGAGGAAUACAUCGGAAUCUACUUUUUCGUGGGGGAUAACGUAGGGAAACUUACGCUAAUACCGCAUACGACCUACGGGUGAAAGCAGGGGAUCUUCGGACCUUGCGCGAUUGAAUGAGCCGAUGUCGGAUUAGCUAGUUGGCGGGGUAAAGGCCCACCAAGGCGACGAUCCGUAGCUGGUCUGAGAGGAUGAUCAGCCACACUGGAACUGAGACACGGUCCAGACUCCUACGGGAGGCGGCAGUGGGGAAUAUUGGACAAUGGGCGCAAGCCUGAUCCAGCCAUACCGCGUGGGUGAAGAAGGCCUUCGGGUUGUAAAGCCCUUUUGUUGGGAAAGAAAAGCAGCAGGUUAAUACCCCGCUGUUCUGACGGUGCCCAAAGAAUAAGCACCGGCUAACUUCGUGC
rnacentral:rRNA from 1 species